AUUGAACGCUGGCGGCAUGCCUUACACAUGCAAGUCGAACGGUAACGCGGGGCAACCUGGCGACGAGUGGCGAACGGGUGAGUAAUGUAUCGGAACGUGCCCAGUUGUGGGGGAUAACUACUCGAAAGAGUAGCUAAUACCGCAUACGACCUGAGGGUGAAAGCGGGGGAUCGCAAGACCUCGCGCAAUUGGAGCGGCCGAUAUCAGAUUAGCUAGUUGGCGGGGUAAAAGCCCACCAAGGCGACGAUCUGUAGCUGGUCUGAGAGGACGACCAGCCACACUGGGACUGAGACACGGCCCAGACUCCUACGGGAGGCAGCAGUGGGGAAUUUUGGACAAUGGACGCAAGUCUGAUCCAGCCAUGCCGCGUGCAGG
rnacentral:rRNA from 1 species